rnacentral:rRNA from 2 species
GAAUGCUGACAUAAGUAACGAUAAAGCGGGUGAAAAGCCCGCUCGCCGGAAGACCAAGGGUUCCUGUCCAACGUUAAUCGGGGCAGGGUGAGUCGACCCCUAAGGCGAGGCCGAAAGGCGUAGUCGAUGGGAAACGGGUUAAUAUUCCCGUACUUGGUGUUACUGCGAAGGGGGGACGGAGAAGGCUAUGUUGGCCGGGCGACGGUUGUCCCGGUUUAAGCGUGUAGGUGUGUGUUCCAGGUAAAUCCGGUUCACUUUAACACUGAGGCGUGACGACGAGGCACUACGGUGCUGAAGCAACAAAUGCCCUGCUUCCAGGAAAAGCCUCUAAGCAUCAGGUAACAUCAAAUCGUACCCCAAACCGACACAGGUGGUCAGGUAGAGAAUACCAAGGCGCUUGAGAGAACUCGGGUGAAGGAACUAGGCAAAAUGGUGCCGUAACUUCGGGAGAAGGCACGCUGACACGUAGGUGAAGUGAUUUACUCAUGGAGCUGAAGUCAGUCGAAGAUACCAGCUGGCUGCAACUGUUUAUUAAAAACACAGCACUGUGCAAACACGAAAGUGGACGUAUACGGUGUGACGCCUGCCCGGUGCCGGAAGGUUAAUUGAUGGGGUCAGCGCAAGCGAAGCUCCUGAUCGAAGCCCCGGUAAACGGCGGCCGUAACUAUAACGGUCCUAAGGUAGCGAAAUUCCUUGUCGGGUAAGUUCCGACCUGCACGAAUGGCGUAAUGAUGGCCAGGCUGUCUCCACCCGAGACUCAGUGAAAUUGAACUCGCUGUGAAGAUGCAGUGUACCCGCGGCAAGACGGAAAGACCCCGUGAACCUUUACUAUAGCUUGACACUGAACAUUGAGCCUUGAUGUGUAGGAUAGGUGGGAGGCUUUGAAGUGUGGACGCCAGUCUGCAUGGAGCCGACCUUGAAAUACCACCCUUUAAUGUUUGAUGUUCUAACGUGGACCCGUUACCCGGGUUGCGGACAGUGUCUGGUGGGUAGUUUGACUGGGGCGGUCUCCUCCUAAAGAGUAACGGAGGAGCACGAAGGUUGGCUAAUCCUGGUCGGACAUCAGGAGGUUAGUGCAAUGGCAUAAGCCAGCUUGACUGCGAGCGUGACGGCGCGAGCAGGUGCGAAAGCAGGUCAUAGUGAUCCGGUGGUUCUGAAUGGAAGGGCCAUCGCUCAACGGAUAAAAGGUACUCCGGGGAUAACAGGCUGAUACCGCCCAAGAGUUCAUAUCGACGGCGGUGUUUGGCACCUCGAUGUCGGCUCAUCACAUCCUGGGGCUGAAGUAGGUCCCAAGGGUAUGGCUGUUCGCCAUUUAAAGUGGUACGCGAGCUGGGUUUAGAACGUCGUGAGACAGUUCGGUCCCUAUCUGCCGUGGGCGCUGGAGAACUGAGGGGGGCUGCUCCUAGUACGAGAGGACCGGAGUGGACGCAUCACUGGUGUUCGGGUUGUCAUGCCAAUGGCACUGCCCGGUAGCUAAAUGCGGAAGAGAUAAGUGCUGAAAGCAUCUAAGCACGAAACUUGCCCCGAGAUGAGUUCUCCCUGAGACUUAAAGUCUCCUGAAGGAACGUUGAAGACGACGACGUUGAUAGGCCGGGUGUGUAAGCGCAGCGAUGCGUUGAGCUAACCGGUACUAAUGAACCGUGAGGCUUAACCUUACAACGCC